rnacentral:rRNA from 1 species
UACGUAGGGUGCAAGCGUUGUCCGGAAUUAUUGGGCGUAAAGAGCUUGUAGGCGGUUUGUCGCGUCUGCUGUGAAAUUUCGGGGCUCAACCCCGAACUUGCAGUGGGUACGGGCAGACUAGAGUGUGGUAGGGGAGACUGGAAUUCCUGGUGUAGCGGUGAAAUGCGCAGAUAUCAGGAGGAACACCGAUGGCGAAGGCGACUACCUGGCCUGUUCUUGACGCUGAGGCGCGAAAGCUAGGGGAGCAAACGGG